rnacentral:lncRNA from 1 species
AUCCAAAAUGAAGAUAAUAUGAAGAGGUAGGGAAGAGGAAGGAAACUUGUGCUUAUGACUGUGAGUGCCACAGUAAAAGGCAAAGGGGCACAUUGUAGACGUUGGGCAUGGUUUGAGUCACAUUCCACUUCUUGUUCUUUCUGCACUCCUUCAUCUGCGGCACUUUAGAGCAAGAGGUCAGCAACUUACUAUGUGCCAUCGCUCUAUACAGAUAGUGCUUGCUAGAGACUAUAGAUGGGUGCCAUUCAAAGCUCUCUCUCCUGCUGGUGCUAGAAGAAAGUGGUGCCAUCUAGGUUUUGGAUGUUAGUAAUUAUGGCUGCAAUUGUCAACAUCACGCACUCAUUACUUAAAGCACAAUAAAAUACCAUGGUGACCCAAAAUCCCUGAACAUCAUGACGCCCAUUGUCAAGCCAGAGCUCCUGCGUCAUGUAUGACAAAAGACACGUCACCUGUCAUUAUCGGGUGAAGAUCUGUGUUUUCAGUUUUUUUUCAGUUAUUAGUCUAUAUAUGAUAUAUAUGAUUCAAAUUCGCAUUUGCGGUAAUAGGAUGGCAUAACUAAAGGGAUAUAGAAAUUGUAAUUUCAAUAAAAGGGAAAAUGCAGUAUGAAAGUGAUCAGACCCCAUGAAAACCCUUGUUACAGAAGGGUUAAAAAAAAUAUUGAGGGGGAGGAAACACACAAUUCUUGGAUGAUAACACUGCACUUAGGUCCAUAGUUACAAAAAGUAUAACAAGGAUUUGAAUUGGACUGAUCAAGAAUACUGUCAUUUACUGAUACGAAGGCAAUUGUAAAAUUAAUAUUUUCUCAAAUAGUUAGGUCAGUUCUAAAGCUGAUGACAUCUUUAUAGGCAUCUUUAUGCAUUGUCAAUACUUUAGUUACAUUAAUAAUGAGACUGCUUUGACAGUCAGAAGCCUGUUGGACAAUGUGUCUGAAUUAUGAGAAGAAAUAAGGGCGUAAAUAUUUGCAAUUUGACAAAAUCGCAAACCAAAAUAUACUGAUAUCAGCAGUCUUUGUAUUGCAUAAGAGACUGAUGCUGAUAGCUUUAAACUUCAAAACAUUCAUUUGUGAGAAUGUGCUUUCAUUUUAGUCGUUAGUAUUCCUUUUAUUUUGUCUUUAUUUUUUUUUGCCUGUCUAAUAGGUUAGUAUUGCAUUUUUUUCUGUUCUUCUGCUUAUGCUGUGUGGCAGUCAAUCAAGGCCUAAUAGUAAGAUAUCAGAAUUCAUGCACAGUCAGGGAACAUGAAAAUAUUUGCUUCUCCUUUAAAUUUUUUGGUACUUAGAAAAAGAAAGGAAAGCAGUGCAAUAAAAGUUAUCAAGUGAAUAACUGAAUAUAAUAAUGGUAAAAUAGCAAAAGUAUCCCAUUUAGCACUGAAAUAGGGCAGAUAUCAUUAUAGUGCCUGUUAUCUACACAAUUUCAUGAUUUGUAACAACACAGGCUUUUGGAAGAUCUAAGAGAAAUACAGCAAUUAUUUAUAUCUAAUCAGGGAAUGAUGAAUUCUGGCUCGUAUAGAGAAAUUGGUUAUAAUGGUAAAUAUAGUAUGAUAAGAUUAGCAUAAACAGCUCUAAGGGUAAAUAUAACUGAUAAUAAAAAGUGGGCCAUUAGCAGGAAAAUAAAACAACCUUUUAUGACACAUCUUUAAAAAAAUUCUAGGAUACAUAAUACCUCACAGAUCUCAAUAAAAGAAAAAUGUGAUCUAUUGUCUAAAUUAAUCUAUGUAAACGUAUAUUAAAGGAACUAAAUUCAAUCUGAAAUCAGAGUUUAUACACAUUCAAAUUCACUAGUUUCAUAAAUAAUCCUGUGUGCUAUGAAAAUGAUUUUGAGGUCUUAUCAUUACUCAACAAUGUAUCAUAAAUAAGAUGUAUGUCCUGUAUAUCAUAUUUGUUGAAACACAGCAACUCUACUUACAAGAACUGAAACCUAGAGCACUGUAUUGUGCCUACACCACCCAUGGCACUUGCCUAUGACAGACUGAACUGAUAACUGGUAGACUCUUAGAACGUGGAAAUUUAAUAAAUAUGAAAGUGGGUUAAUUAGCUACUCUAAGGUUCAACCCAUUUGUGCAGGCUGUGUUGUCUAACAAGGUGAAGCUCUAAAAUACAAACAGCUAAAAAAGAAUUUUGACAUAGAAGAAGGAAAUUCAAGAGAAAAUCCAGUGGGAUACAUGUCCCAUCUAAAAAGACAUAUUCAGAUUCAUCAUGAACCUAUAUCUGGCGAGCUAAACCUACAUAUAUUCUAAAAUCUCAAUUGUAACCAUUCUUCAAAAAAUAAUUGUGCUAUUACCUCCUAAAAGUGAUUUUAUCUAUUGCAAUAAUGGCCUUUGAAUAAAUUAUCACCUCCAUCCUUCGCACCCCCUUCACUUCGGGACUUCACUGUGUUUCUUCAAGUGUUGCUUUAACGAGCCAUAAUCUCGACUCCUGUAAUCACACAGCUCACACUUAUAUGGCUUUUCUCCUGUGUGUAUUCUCAUGUGCCGCUUCAGAGCUUCACUGUAGCUUGUCUUAUAUGUACAAAGUUCACAGUUGUAGGGCUUUUCACCUGUGUGAGUUCUCAUGUGCUUGGUCAGGUUGCUCUUCCACUGGAACACCUUCCCACACUGAACGCAGGUGUGACCCGCAUCAUUUUCAUUACUGACCAGGUGUGGGCCCUCCUCUCUUCUCUUAACCAUAGACAUACUUGCUUUGCUGCCAUUUUGCUGUGGUGCUCCCUGCAAGAUUGAACUGUUAGUAACUAUAUAGCUGUUAGUUAUAUAAAGUCAAAUUUUAUUUCAGAAAAAAACUAUCCAUAAUAUGGAAUAGAAAUAUAUAUUACAUAUAUCUAGUCUAUGUGAUGUCCUGUCAAGAAUACAGUACUGUUUAAAAGUCAUAGCAAAUAUACUUACAUGUGUGUUGCCUUCAAUCAUGACAUUCAACAUAGCAUUGACCUCAGCAUUUGAACUUGUUGCUUGUGUGUUUGGAUUGUCGCUGUGUGCUGCCUGACUCGAAUUCCCAUAGUUCUCUCUCCCCGAAGUAGAGAUGAGUGUCUGCAGAGACUUGAGAUGGGGUGAAUAGCCCUCCUCCUGGCCAUAGCCUAUGUCUGGAACGUCCGCCUCAAUAUUGUGAUCCUCUACUUCAAUCUUGAUCUUUAUCUCUGAUUCGUUCUCCAUUCCUUGGCUGUGUGUGGUUUUACUCCUCUUGCUCUGGUAGUCUUCCUCGUAGGGUACAUCUGCAUCCCACUUUUGUUUCCUCUUGUGGGGUCUCUCGCUGGCUGCGCUCAUGACCUCCAUUUCUCUGCUGCUGCUGUCUCUGUCCUUAGAAUCACUGCCAUCUCCACUGCUCUCACACUCAUCAUCCUCGUAGGGCACAGCCAGGCCACGCACCAUCAGCACCUCAGCUGCGCUCACGAGCUUGGGGAGAUCCUCCUGAUUGACCACAACCUCUCCCAGGUACAUGAAGUCUAGAAGUGCCGCCAACUCUUUGUGCUGCACAUUGGACGACAGGGAAAUAGAGCCUCUAUGUGGGAUGUCAAUCAGUAUGUCUUUGAAGUACUCACUGCAGGCCGUCAGGACAAACUUAUGCACCCAGUGAACAUGGCCAUCACAUUCCAGCUGCACGUCAGCAUAAAUUUCCUGAAAAAAGAGAGGGAGAAUCAUCAUUUACAUAAAAAGACAUUUGCCAAGAAUACUUAUCAACCCUUCUGAGAUGGGCCACAUCUUAACCCAUUGUGGAUGGGUGGCAACAUGUACAUGCCAAAGGAGUUUUUGGCCCAAGGACGGGGGCAACGCUUAGGUGCCAAUAGUCGUCAUGGCAUAUCUGACGUUGGGGGAAAGUGAAUCACUGUGAUUCUCUAUUACCCUAUGAGUAAUAACUAUUUUGUAACUGAUGAUGCCAAAUACAAUUAUAAUUACUGCAAUAAUUGUAUCAUUCACCAAAUAGUUUUAGUUUAAAAUCCCUGGAUUAGUUGAACCACUCUCUCUUAGCACCAGCAGGAACAAAAGCCUUGAAGGGUGCCCCUCCACGGUCUUUACCAUGCACUAUCUUCAGAGAGCGAUGACACACAGCAAAGGGCCAACUUCUGGCUCUAUAGUACCAGCAAUGCAGAAUGGACUCACUGAAUGAGAACAGGAAGUUGAUCGAGACCAUGUGCAUCGUCUGCAUAUUUGCCACUAUGUCAGUAUGGCUGCUUUGUGAUGUGGCACUCGCAGUCAUAAGCACAGGUCUCCUUACUUUUCCCCAUUAAUUUAUUUUCAUGGUUAUUUCUUUCGUAUCUGUUUAUGAAAGCACAUAUAUAUGGGAAAAAUAAAGUUGCUUUUUAUCCUCUCAAAACUGUAAUACUUCAUCACACUGAGUACAAAGAACAUAAUUCUACUCUAUUACAAUAUUGAUAGACACUGUCAGAUGGCACAUAACAGAGACAUGAAAAAUUGUGAUUCUUUGGGUGGAGCUCCAUCACUCUAAAAUAAAAAUCCAACCUGGGUGCCACACAGGUGGUACUAGUGCCCAUCCUCAGGAUAAUUCAAGCAAAUCUAUCCCUGCCCCAAUAACAACGGGGCAGUUUUGGCUCUGCCCAGUCCUAACUCCAGGGUAUUUCAAAUGCACAGGCUUAAUGCCUCCUGCUAUUGGGAGGAGACUCUGGCUCUGGCCACCCUCUAUGUGCACAAUCACCCAGUGUGCCAGCCAUACAAAAAGCUACGAUGUGAUAUCAAAAGCCCUGCCACCACAUGAUGUGAUAUCAUGUCACCAGGUUAAGAUGUUCAGUCUUGGCUGGGACCUUGAUAUGUAGUGUUUUCUAUUUUCUAGACUUACGGUAUGAUCUAUAAGUUUAUAUACAAUGUAUUGGUAAAGUGAUACUAAUCAGCAUUUCAUAUGCUUCAUUAGUUAAACAACUGAAGGAAUAACCAGCCUGUAUAUUGAACAAAAAAUGCUGUGAAAAAAUUAUCCAACCCCUCAUAUAAUGCCCUCAGUGGAAGAGUUAAAAGAGUGAUGGUAACUAAUAAAUGGUUAAACAGCA